AACUAUAACGGUCCUAAGGUAGCGAAAUUCCUUGUCAGGUAAGUUCUGACCCGCAUGAAAGGCGUAAUGAUUUGGGCACUGUCUCAACAGCCCGCCCGGCGAAAUUGUAGUACCGGUGAAGAUGCCGGUUACCCGCGACAAGACGGAAAGACCCCAUGGAGCUUUACUGUAGCCUGAUAUUGGGUUUCGAUGUUGUAUGCACAGGAUAGAUGGGACACUGGGAAGCAUGGGCUUUGGCCUAUGUGGAGUGGACGUUGGGAUACCAUCCUUAUGAUAUUGGAAUUCUAACCAGCAGCCCUGAAGCGGGCUGGGGGACAUUGUCAGGUGGGCAGUUUGACUGGGGCGGUCGCCUCCAAAAGAGUAACGGAGGCGUUCAAAGGUUCGCUCGGCUUGAACGGAAAUCAAGCGAGAGAGUGCAAACGCAGAAGCGAGCCUGACUGCGAGACUGACGGGUCGAGCAGGAACGAAAGUUGGAGUUAGUGAUCCGGUGGUAUGUGAGUGGAAAUGCCAUCGCUCAACGGAUAAAAGUUACCCUGGGGAUAACAGGCUGAUCUCCCCCAAGAGUCCACAUCGACGGGGAGGUUUGGCACCUCGAUGUCGGCUCAUCGCAUCCUGGGGCUGUAUUCGGUCCCAAGGGUUUGGCUGUUCGCCAAUUAAAGCGGUACGCGAGCUGGGUUCAGAACGUCGUGAGACAGUUCGGUCCCUAUCUGUCGUGGGCGCAGGAUAUUUGAUGGGAGCUGUCCCUAGUACGAGAGGACCGGGACGGACGUACCUCUGGCGCACCAGUUGUUCUGCCAAGAGCAUAGCUGGGCAACUAUGUACGGAUCGGAUAAACGCUGAAAGCAUCUAAGCGUGAAGCCGACCCAAAGAUAAGAUAUCCCACUGAACAAUCAGGUAAGAUCCCUUGAAGACUACAAGGUUGAUAGGCACAAUGUGUAAGUGGAGUGAUCCAUUCAGCAAGCGUGUACUAAUAGAUCGAGGGCUUGACCAC
rnacentral:rRNA from 1 species